AGUGAACGCUGGCGGUAGGCCUAACACAUGCAAGUCGAACGGCAGCACAGUAAGAGCUUGCUCUUACGGGUGGCGAGUGGCGGACGGGUGAGGAAUACAUCGGAAUCUACUUUUUCGUGGGGGAUAACGUAGGGAAACUUACGCUAAUACCGCAUACGACCUACGGGUGAAAGCAGGGGAUCUUCGGACCUUGCGCGAUUGAAUGAGCCGAUGUCGGAUUAGCUAGUUGGCGGGGUAAAGGCCCACCAAGGCAACGAUGCGUAGCUGGCCUGAGAGGAUGAGCGGCCACACUGGAACUGAGACACGGUCCAGACUCCUACGGGAGGCAGCCGUAGGGAAUCUUACGCAAUGGGCGAAAGCCUGACGGAGCAAUGCCGCGUGAUUGAUGAAGGUCUUCGGAUAGUAAAACUCUGUUAUUAGGGAAGAAAAAAUGUGUAAGUAACUAUGCACGUCUUGACGGUACCUAAUCAGAAAGCCACGGCUAACUACGUG
rnacentral:rRNA from 1 species